AUAAUGACGGUACUUGAGGAGGAAGCCCCGGCUAACUACGUGCCAGCAGCCGCGGUAAUACGUAGGGGGCUAGCGUUAUCCGGAUUUACUGGGCGUACAGGGUGCGUAGGCGGUCUUUCAAGUCAGGCGUGAAAGGCUACGGCUCAACCGUAGUAAGCUCUUGAAACUGGGAGACUUGAGUGCAGGAGAGGAGAGUGGAAUUCCUAGUGUAGCGGUGAAAUGCGCAGAUAUUAGGAGGAACACCAGUUGCGAAGG
rnacentral:rRNA from 1 species